rnacentral:rRNA from 1 species
AGAAUCAACGCUGGCGGCGUGCCUAACACAUGCAAGUCGAACGAGAAAGUGGAGCAAUCCAUGAGUAAAGUGGCGCACGGGUGAGUAACACGUGACUAACCUACCCUUGAGUGGGGAAUAACUGAGGGAAACCUUAGCUAAUACCGCACAACACCUACGGGUCAAAGGAGCAAUUCGCUUAAGGAGGGGGUCGCGGCAGAUUAGUUAGUUGGCGGGGUAAUGGCCCACCAAGACGAUGAUCGGUA